rnacentral:lncRNA from 1 species
CCAGCAUAUGGAGAUUCUCAGGCUUGGGGUCCAAUUGGAGCUGUAGCCGCCGGCCUAUGCCAGAGCCACAGCAACGAGGGAUCCAAGCCAUGUCUGCAACCUACACCACAGCUCACAGCAACGCCGGAUCCGUAACCCAUUGAGCAAGGCCAGGGAUCAAACCCGAAACCUCAUGGUUCCUAGUCGGAUUCAUUAACCACUGAGCCAUGAUGGGAACUCUAAGAGGAUCAUAUUUUUAAAACUUGAUUUGAGUUUCCAUUUUUCUGCCUUAGUCAUUCAGUGUAAAAUACUUUCUCAUGAAUACAUGAACCUCUUUCACAGGAAUUGCUUGGCAAACUGUAGGAAAGAAAGAAAAGAGUUUUAUUCAUGAACUACAAGAACAGAAAGCAUUUGAAUAAUAAAAUGUUAUCAUCCUUAAGUAAAAACUUGUUAUAGAAGAAGUAAACUAGAUUUAUUUAUUCUACUGUUUUCUAAAAAUAAUAUGUGAUUUUGGUGGUGAGAUAGUUUCUCUAAAAUGCCUAUGAUAUUUUUACUACCAUUGCUGACUUUUUGCCUCAGUAUAUUUGUUUCCUCAUAUAUUAGGUUAUUAAUAUUAAAUUGCCAAACAAAUUUUAUAUACAACUUUUUUCAGUUUACUUCUUCUUUUUUUUUUUUUUUUUUUUUUUGCCAUUUUUUGGGCCCCUCCCGCGGCAUAUGGAGGUUCCCAGGCUAGGGGUCAAAUCGGAGCUGUAGCCUCCAGCCUACGCCAGAGCCACAGCAACGUGGGAUCCGAGCCGCAUCUGCAACCUACACAACAGCUCACAGCAACGCUGGAUCCUUAACCCACUGAGCAAGGGCAGGGACCGAACCCGCAACCUCAUGGUUCCUAGUUGGAUUCGUUAACCACUGCGCCACGACGGGAACUCCUCAGUUUACUUCUUAAAUAUUUAGGCAAAAUCAUAUCAUAUCUGUCGCAACUACUCUAUACAAUAGAAAUUAUAUGGAAAGCAUUGAACUGAAAGAAAAGGACCCUAAAUUUAAAUUAUAAUCACAAUGUAAAUUGUUAUUAAUUCCAUUUGGAAUAUAAUAUGAUAGUUGUGAAAAUUAUAAAGCAUACAAUAUUUCCAUCUGAAAACAUUCUCUUGAAUUUAUAAAAGCUACAUUAAAAAUUCAUCGAAUUGCAUAUUUAUUUUUUUCAUUAUGCUUUUCUAAAUUUCAACUUUUAUAAAGUAUAAAAUGCUUUUCUUCUUAAUUUUAAAAAAUUAGCAUUAUUGAAAAAAAUCCAACAAGCAAAUCCUCUACAAUAUCUCUGCUGCCUUGCAAUCUUCAGCAACAAAAAAAUUCAAAUUCACGGGAGUUCCCAUCAUGGCGCAGCAGUAGCAAACCUGACUGGUAUCCAUGAGGACUCGGGUUCCAUCCCUGGCCUUGCUCAGCGGCUCAGGGAUCCAGCAUUGCCGUGGGCUGUGGUGUAGGUUGCAGAUGCGUCUUGGAUUCCACGUUGCUGUGGCUGUGAUGUAGACCAGCAGCUGUAGCUCCAAUUGGACCCCUAGGUUGGUAACUUCCAUGUGCCCUGAGUGUGGUCGUAAAAAAAAAAAAAAAAAAAACUUGCAUUCGCAUUCAAUAAGGCCACCAGACUUCCAUUUCUGAUAGGCUACUGGGCUGCAUUAUACAUGUGUUUUUUCCAUGUUCAAGAUAUUUAGUAAUAAUAGAAACACAUCUCCCACUUUAGGUGCCUUACUCGAAUUGGUGGUAAAAUUUGAAACACAUCCCCUGAUCUUUAAUUGUACCCAAUUGCACAAGUCUUCCUUUGCUACCAUCUGAAUAACAGGCUCUCUUCAACUUUUCCGAUUCUCCUCUGAACAGUUGCUUCGAUCAGUGGUGCUACCAUACAACAGAAUCCACAUAAAAUCUGAAUCGAUGGCGAGCUUAUCUCAGUUUCAUAUACCUUUACAUUUAUCCCUCCAUCAUAAGAUUUCUAAAGAAUAUAAAAUCGGAACUCACCCCCAACUUGAAACUGUCCUCACAUUUACUAGUAUUCGAAUAACUUGAAAAUAAAUAUUUAGCAAGGAAUUUUGCUUAUAACAAGUUAUAGAAAACACAAAUAAAUAGCCAUUCAUUUUGGUCUUUGGUUUUUGUUCUAUUUUAACUCUUCUGUAGUGGCCCAUUUUCAAUUCCCAUUCUAAAAAUUGAGCAGCAAAGUGUAGAUAUCUCGUGUCCAUUUUAAAGGAAGAAACGACUUGGCUUACUCUCUUACUAUCAAUUGUCUUGUAAUUUCAUCAAUGGAUGCUGACUUUGCUGCUUGGUACACUUAUGAAAAUGGCAGAAAUUCUCUUUUUAUACAGACUGCCCUCACUUGUCACUAUUAUCAAUGCACAAUCCUCUGCAAGUAGCUGGUAUCCAGAAGAACUUUCCAUAUCUUUCCACUGCAUCAAAUCCCCAUCAUUUUCUAAUCACACAUGAGAGCAUCUUUUUUUCUAUCUCGGCUAUUAAACUUUCUUUUCUUCUGUUCAUAUUUAAUUCCAAUAUUAUUUUAACUAUGAAAUGUUGGCAGUUGUUGCAUACAUAUAUAAAGCUAUGUAAAUGAAGCAUUAUUUUGUGGGUAAUACAUGAGAAUAACUGUGCAGUAGCUGUGCAGCCAAACCAGAGAUGUGUGUAACGGCACGCCAUCCAGAAGGACUGGGAGUGUCCACUCUGCCUAACUUCUGAUCCACAUCUCCACUCUGAAAGGCUCCUUUACCUGUAUAAGUGAACGUUACUGAAUGACAAAAAGUUAUUUUGAGAAUAAACACAGAUAUUCAAAAAGAAAGUGCUUGUCAUACACCAUUGCCCAAACCAAAGAACUCUCUUCUACCAACAAAAGAGUUUAACAACGCUGUCAACUCUUUUGUUAUUAUGCUAAACCACUUCUGUUGCUUUCUAAUGGGUCAGUGAAAAUUACUUUCAUUUCUACAUAGCCUGCAAAUACAAGCUCCUCUUUACAAAUGAGACACCAGCUAUUGACCUCAAAAGGAUAGCAUCCUGAGAGUUCUGAAAUAGAUAUUUUUCUCAUGUUAAUGAUAGGAGACCUAGAUUUCUGAUUGAUCCCAGGCUUUAGUGAAAAGAGACAUUCGUAUAGAUAUAUGAGGACGUAUGAGAUGUUGAAUUAAGUAUUUCAACAUAAAUCUGUGUUUGCUGUCUUAUGCUAGAAAUUCUUAUCCCUUUACUUAUAUGGGUGCCAUAAAUUUUGCUUUGAAAUGCCCAGGUACUCUCUUUUUCAUACAUAUGAGGUCAUUAUUGAUUGGCUUAGGAAAUGGACUCCAGAGUGUUCAUUUAAACGCCAUUCCCUUAGGAAAUUAAUAUUUUUCAUAACAAUAAUAAAAAUAAAAAUAAAAUAUUUUAAAGACAGAGUUGUAUGUUUCCUCUCCUGUCCCCUGGAAGUCUCUUAAGCAUAGCCUAAUAGCUGGCUUUAGGGGAAAAAAAAAAAAAAUUAAGACACCUUGGGUCAAAAAAAAAAUCAAUUUUGGAAGUAGUUAUAUCAAUUUCCUUGGCAGAGUUGCUGAAUAGAGUUUUUAUUGACUGUGAAUCUAAGUUACUAAGAAAAAUUAGUGAUAUUAGCAAAUGGUUGUACCAUGCAGAUGCCUAAGAGAGGCUAACAAUGUCUCAUCUUUCAGAGAAUGGACCUAAAAUACAUCUUUAAUCAGUAUGAAAUGAUAUGCAUUGUCUCCUCUUUUUUUUUUUUAGGGCCACACUCGCGGCACAUGGAGGUGCCCAGGCUAGGGGAUGAAUCAGAGCUAGAGCUGCUGGCCUAUGCCACAGCCACAGCAAUGCAGGAUCCAAUCCACAUCUGCAACCUACACCACAGCUCAUGGCAAAGCUGGAUCCUUAACCCAUUGAGUGAGGGCAGGGAUUGAACCUGCAACUUCAUGGCUCCUAGUCAGAUUCAUUUCUGCUGCGCUAUGACAGGAACUCCAUUGACUUAAAAAUUUAUUCAAAUUCUUCACCACUAGCCUGUGUUUAAGUUAUUUUUCUUCAUUAAAAAAAGAAAAGAAAAAGAUCUGGGAUUACUACGUUAAGAACUUAAAUAAAAUUGUCUUUUUUCUUCUCAUUUCACCAACUAUAUGCUGAUAUUGACUUGACCCAGUAGAUUUCCUCUGAGACUUUUAUGCUUUGGUCCUUUAUAUAUGAGAACCUAAGUACUGAGUAAAUUUUAUUCCUUGAAAUUACUUUGCUUACCAUUCAUUAUUCUCCAUUAAUUUAUUUGGCCCUGUCAAUGUGCCUUUUGAUGGCAUAUCUUUUUGUGUUAUCAGUCUCCACCACAUGGACAUUUUUUAUUAUUCUUUAUUCUUUUUUGUUACCCACUCUUCCAAAAUUAUUUUCAUUCAUUUUCUGAAUUUCCAAAGUUUGCUGUCAAAUCCUCCACAAAGACAUUCUUUCAGGAAAGCAAAUGUUUUCUGUUGAACAUGUAAGGACAUUCUCUUCAAAUUGCUUCCAAAAUAUCUAACAUGCCAGUCAAUCUGUUGCUCACUCUAAGGCCAGGGCUUGCUGUCUUAACAAGUUCGACCCCUUGGUUCCUCCUCCAUUGACUGACUCCUCACUAUACUUCCAAUAGAGCACGAAGCUUCUUACUAUGAAAUGCUCGGCAGUUCAAAACAUGACAUGUUAUUAGACCUGACUUGCAUUGGGCAAUCAUUCCUGUUUGCAUCUUCAUUUCCGUAGUUUACUGUUUGUAACCUCUUCAAAUUAUGAGCACUCCAGGCCAUAUUUCCAUGUGCUGUUUCUGACACAUGGAAUGCCCUCCCUAAACUCCAUCCUCAACAAUCACUCCAUGAUUUUCUAAUUAAUUUAUAUGGGUUAUCUUCUACUCGAAGGUCACUAGCUCUCAGCUACCUUAACAAUUCUUCCCCACAAUUACUCCACUCUUUGUAAGCCUGCAGCAAUGUGUAUAUAUGCCUAUUAUGCUACCUGUAAUUUUGACUUCCCCCAUGCCACAUGUUGUUCCCUCAUUCAUUGUGACUGAUUAAAUCACUUUUUAUAUUGCUUCAGCAGCGAGUAAUCCAGAAUAAUUGCUCAAUUCUCGGUGGAGGGUAGGAAUCUGGCAUCACUGGUAGACCAUGAGCUCUGCUGCCAAGUCCUAGUUCCUACUUCCUUUCUUCCUUCAGCAAAUAAAUUUUGAGUGAAAUUUUAUGAAGACUAUUUCUCCUAGAAUUGUGGGAUUGCAUAACCCUUUUAUACCACCUUACAUCCUUUCCCCCGUAGCAUUAAUGUUUACUCCUUCUAGUGGUUACUUUGAUAACUUUAAUAUGAAAAUAGCUUUACUUUUAGAUUCAUCUGUAGACCAAAUUCUUAACCCCUUCCAGUGAAAAAUAAGGAUGACUGACCCCCUUUCUUUACCUGUAACUUUGCUUUCCUUCUUUCAACUGUCAAAUUCCGCCAUAUUGCCUUCCUUUUAUUGAGAAGAAUGGCAUUUAUGUGCCAUACUGUAAAGCAUAAUUAUGUCCCUCAACAUAUUUUGCUACAAAAUUUCAAUGGAUAUGUUUUUAUGACUAUGUAAAUAUUGUACACCACACAACCAAUAAUGUAGUAUACUUGCAUUUCUUUUUGCAUACCGAAUUACCAUUUUGCUUUGUUUUGUUGGAUUCUGUGUCAUUCAUUUUGUUUUGUUCUGGAGUUUAUACUUGCCACCAUCUUUCUUAUAUUGCUCCCCAAAAUUGUUCCAAGUUCCCAUAGACACUAUGAAAUCUCUGGGACUCUCCUUUUUCCUCAGAACUACCUCCCUAGUCCUGAUCCCAUUUGGACUCUGCUCUCCAGGUCUACUGCACCACUGAUAUCUUGAGUCAAUGCUUCAACACAUUCCUAGAUUCUAUGUCUUCCUCUUUCGUGGUUUAAAUGCUUAGAGUCUAUCCCCCUGUAGCUUUUAAAGAAAGAGAAAUAAAUCUGCACGCCUUCCAAAUAUGAAAAUAUAUCUUUUCUAGCUUCAAGCUUUAUAGAGAAAUUAGCGGGUUAUGUAAUUCUAGAUUAAAAUAAUUAUUCUCAAACUUUCAAAGGUACUGCUGUAUUAAUUUCUAACAUCCAGUUAUACAGAUGUGCAGUUGAUGCUAAUGUGUUUUUUGUUGCUUUAGACAUGAAAUAUUUGUUUCUUUUAAGAAGCUUUUGAAGUCAUUACAUUCUCUUUGGUGUAUGAAAACUUCACAAUUAUGGGUCCAGUUUUUUUUCUUCCACACAUUAUGCUGGGCAUUGAUCCUUCUGUUUAAAGAAACUGUCUUUUAUUGUGUCUGUGAUGGUGCUAUUAGUUGGAUGUUGGCCCACCUGUAUUGAUUUUAUAUAUAUUUUAUCUCAUUUAAUAUUUUCAUUCUCUUUGCCCUUUUAAUCUACUUCCUGAGCAAUUUCCUUGCCUUUGUCAAAGCUUAUAUUAAAAUUCUAAUUUCUGUGAUCAUAUUGCAUUUCCAAGUUAUUUGCAUUUAGAUCCACCAGUUUGACUAAAUAAUAAUAAAAAAAUCAAUCUAGUUAAGUGUGACUAUGAAGUUAUAAUGAAGUAUUGUGAUAUUUAAUAUUGUAUAAGAAAAUUUCUCAGCUUAAAGUAUAAGUAGAAUCAUCAUCAACCAUACCGAUUAUUCUUUAAUUUGAUAUUACCAAACAGCAAUAAACUAACAAGGGAAAAAUAAAAUCAGAAUAGUUUAGCCUUACAAUCAGAAUUUUAAUGCAUAAAAUAUACUGGGACUGUGUUUCUUCUCCCAAAUUUAUUUUCUUCAUCUCAAAAAUGAAAAUUGAAUAUUCCAUUGCCCAUAACUUAUGGAAAAAUUAAUUUAUUCAUAUUUAUGAGAAAUAAAAAAAUAAUUUAUUCAUCUUUAUUUCACUUGAGCUAUAUUGUUAUAUAAUACCAAGCUCAUUAAACUUUGUAAAUCUCAUAUGUACCAGCCCAGUGCCUCUGUUUGGAUAUCGAACUAAUAUUAAGUAAGAAAAGAUUUUAAAAUUCUUAUGACUUUGGAGCUAAAAUUCUCAUAUUUCAUUCUGUAGGUAUGUGUAUCCAUUUUACACUUAACAGUAAGAAAUCCACUCAAAUCUACCUCUGCUGUAUAGUUUACAUUGUACCUGUUUAAAAAUUUGCUCUUUCUAAAGAAGAUUUUAAGGAUGUGAAACCAGAGAAACAAAAGAACCUCGACUGGAUUAUAAUUCGAGCCAGGUGCCCAAAAGUCGACACAGACUUUUUUUUUAAUUAUAUUCAGAGCAAAAACAGAUA